GGCGAGGCUGUAACUGACGCUAAAGCUCGAAAGUGCGGGUAUCGAACAGGAUUAGAUACCCUGGUAGUCCGCACGGUAAACGAUGGAUGCCCGCUGUUUGCGAUAUACAGUAAGCGGCCAAGCGAAAGCGUUAAGCAUCCCACCUGGGGAGUACGCCGGCAACGGUGAAACUCAAAGGAAUUGACGGGGGCCCGCACAAGCGGAGGAACAUGUGGUUUAAUUCGAUGAUACGCGAGGAACCUUACCCGGGCUUGAACUGCAGCAGACGGAUCUAGAGAUAGUGACUCCCUUCGGGGCUGCUGUGGAGGUGCUGCAUGGUUGUCGUCAGCUCGUGCCGUGAGGUGUCGGCUUAAGUGCCAUAACGAGCGCAACCCCUGCGACUAGUUGCCAUCAGUCGAAGCUGGGCACUCUGGUCGGACUGCCACCGUAAGGUGUGAGGAAGGUGGGGAUGACGUCAAAUCAGCACGGCCCUUACGUCCGGGGCUACACACGUGUUACAAUGGGUGAUACAGAAUGUCGGUGCUGCGCAAGCCGCAUCCAAUCAUGAAAGUCAUCCUCAGUUCGGAUUGGGGUCUGCAACCCGACCCCAUGAAGCUGGAU
rnacentral:rRNA from 1 species